rnacentral:rRNA from 1 species
UAAUACAUGCAAGUCGAGCGGACAGAAGGGAGCUUGCUCCCGGAUGUUAGCGGCGGACGGGUGAGUAACACGUGGGUAACCUGCCUGUAAGACUGGGAUAACUCCGGGAAACCGGAGCUAAUACCGGAUAGUUCCUUGAACCGCAUGGUUCAAGGAUGAAAGACGGUUUCGGCUGUCACUUACAGAUGGACCCGCGGCGCAUUAGCUAGUUGGUGAGGUAACGGCUCACCAAGGCGACGAUGCGUAGCCGACCUGAGAGGGUGAUCGGCCACACUGGGACUGAGACACGGCCCAGACUCCUACGGGAGGCAGCAGUAGGGAAUCUUCCGCAAUGGACGAAAGUCUGACGGAGCAACGCCGCGUGAGUGAUGAAGGUUUUCGGAUCGUAAAGCUCUGUUGUUAGGGAAGAACAAGUGCAAGAGUAACUGCUUGCACCUUGACGGUACCUAACCAGAAAGCCACGGCUAACUACGUGCCAGCAGCCGCGGUAAUACGUAGGUGGCAAGCGUUGUCCGGAAUUAUUGGGCGUAAAGGGCUCGCAGGCGGUUUCUUAAGUCUGAUGUGAAAGCCCCCGGCUCAACCGGGGAGGGUCAUUGGAAACUGGGAAACUUGAGUGCAGAAGAGGAGAGUGGAAUUCCACGUGUAGCGGUGAAAUGCGUAGAGAUGUGGAGGAACACCAGUGGCGAAGGCGACUCUCUGGUCUGUAACUGACGCUGAGGAGCGAAAGCGUGGGGAGCGAACAGGAUUAG